GCGCAGCAUACAUACAUCGAGCCUAUCCGACCCAGCCAGAGUGGGUUUAGAUAUGACAUUUUGACGGGGAUCGUUGUCACGGGACCCCACUGCGUGGGGCUGCAGCUAUGACAUCAGGCCGCUGGUCACGGGACACCAUUUGCCGGCCGCGAGCCCGGUAUUUAAACCACCCCCCACCGUCCGCCGUCAGCAGACCUCCAGUUGUCGGUCAAGAGGACGGACUGAUUUCGCGCUCCUGCAGCUUGCGUCCAUAACAUAUCAACAUGCCUACCGGAAAGGAGAUGGGCCAGCAGGCUACCGAUAACCGAUCCAACCAGUUGAACCCGAACAACCCAACCUACCAGGGGGGAGCCAACCGACACACCGGCAACGCCGACUCCUUCGGGAAGUCGGCGGCCGACAACCGCUCCAACCAGAUGAACCCCAACAACCCCAGCUACCAGGGCAAGAAGUGAGCGCUGCCGGGCCUACACGCCGCGGUAGCACUGCCAUCGUCCAGUGGCGGGAAACAUUUCCCAUCAGCGGGUCGGGUGCCACAGCUGCGCUGACGCUUAUAUCCUGUUCAUUGAAAAUGAUUCGCUGAUCGCUCAGUAAACAUGUAAACAUGCUCCGUAAACUCGCUUAGGACGGCAAACACUGUGCCUCGUCUUUGUCAGAAUAAGUGAACAAUAAACUGAAACAGUAAA